CUCUGCUUUUGUGGACCUGUUGUCCCUCUGGCUCCUCCAUCCAGUGAUGGCCGGAGUGAUUAAUCUGGGGCUUGUUUCCUCCCCCCUUCCCCGCGGCGUGUGCAGGGCCCAUCCAUCAAGAUGCCCAGAUAAUUGAAGCCAUCCACCUGUGGGCCUUACCCGGGCAGGGAUGCUGGCCUGGAGACUGUGCUGUUCGCUGUAAUUACUCUUUCUGAGCGAAUCCCUGGGGCUCCUCUCUGCCUCCUGCAGGUCCUCAUCACCUUGAAUGAUGCUUCUGUAAAAACCUCUCCUCUCCUCCCCACCAAGACCGUAACCCUAGACUGGCCUUAGCAACAGUUUCACCCUGACCCUAAGAAGAGCUAUUUUUACUGAAGAACCAGCCAGAUGGAAGCAGUUCAGCUGCAGUUUGAGGGAGCUGAGUUGGCCACUAGAAAGAACUUUCUUCCCUGAGGCUCGGAGAAGCUGAAAUACACAACCGAGAAGGGUGAUGGGAUCUUCCUAAGAGAGCUCCAGGGAAGGGACUGAGAGUGGACCUCUCUUGAAUGAACUGAAUGUCCUCCCCCAGCCCCUCCCCAGUCUAAGGAGAGUUCUUGCAGCUGGAAGAGACCUAGCAAUCAUCUAUCCCAACCUCCCUCUCAGUGCCAAGUUUGGGAUACCUUCUCUUAGCACGAAUCCUCCUUAACUGUUCAUUUAUUCAUUCAGUCACUCCUUUCACAAUAUCUGUGACUCACGGCGUCCUACGACUAGAUCUUCACUGUCCCAAGCACAGGGUGGGUACAAGUGGCAACAGUAAGGUGGUGUCCGACUAACCCAGAGGGAUGAGAACGUUAUAUAACCAUUGUCUCCAGACUGUCAAGUUAAUAAAAGCGAUAAACCUCUUUGGUUGUUUCAGGGAAUAUUCUGCAAAAAAGAGUUUGCAUGCAAGGAGACAUUCGGUCUUCUAACCGAUGCCAGUCACCAACGGCAAUGACAUGAAGAGGCAUCAUCACUGCUGCGAAGAAACCUCUCACGUGUGUAGCCCUGGAAACGUGCACCGUCCAGCAAAGGAUCUGAAACCCUGCAUUAGCCUUGUUAGGACAUCUGCCAAGAGUCGGGGUGGAUGGUGAUUUGGACUAGAGACGGGUGUGGAAUGCUGCCGCGUGAGAUGAGACAGCCAGCAGGACAGCAGCGCCAUGUGGAGAAACAGUCACAGGGAAUUGAAGACUUCUGGAAGUGUCCAGUGCCUGCAGUUAUGAGGUCUGAAGAGAAUGGAUCAGAGACGAGAACACAGCUACUCUGGCCUCUGCAGCUGCUCUCCUGCAGGAGAGGCCCCAUCAGCGGAGGCUAGAGGAAACAGCUCCCUUCCUUGUUGGCAGCAGGCUUGGAAAUACCACCCAUACCCAAACUGGAUGCCCUGAGGCCACCUGAUACACCCGGGGCGCCUCAGGGCAGGAAGUCCCAGAAACCAUGUAGUUUCUGACCACCCACUUCAACUUUUCUUUGCGUGGAAGAGACAGGGACUGUGCAGGAGUCGUCUUUGUUUCUGCCACAGUGGAGACUGACGUCUUGCCCAGAGUAGCUUCUCCAUACAUUCUCACAUGACUGAAUGAAUGUCCUCUCCAGAGCAGAAUGGAGCUGUCCUGGCUCAGAGGUGCCUCAGGUGGUGGCCUUGAACUUGGUUUGCAGACAAAACCGUGCAACAAUGCACCACAGGAGAUGGGGCAGGUGAGGAAGAGGGGGUGGGGAGACUGGCAGGAGUGCGGCAGGAUUUUUUCCUGACCCCAGCUAGUGAUCAGUUUAUACCCUAAAGCAGAAGGAUUAAUAACCAGGGUAAUUUUAUUCCUGUUAGAAUGUAACUACAGAUGUGGGCUCAUUGGGUGAAACAGCUAAUCCUUUCUGCAUUUGGCUCACUUGUGAAAUACGAUGCCUGGGGUUGUCGAAAGCGCUGUUCGCACAGCGGCCUGCUGCUGGGCGCCUUCCUCUCUUCUGGGCUGAGUGGGCAGCUGUCCGGGGGCGUCUGUGCUCUUGCCUCUUGGGUGAGCUGACUUCUCACUGGACUGGUGAUGGAGGGGAAGGCACGAGGCCUGUGUGUCUGGGGACUUGAAAGGAGGGACGGUGUCGUUGAAGGAAAACGUCAGGUGUAGGAGUGGGUGGGUGCACAGAGAGGCUGGAGGGAAAAAAACUCUUGCAGAAAUCUAAGGUCCUGAGGGAUGGGGAGGCAGCAGGAGGAGGGAAGGGGGAGCCCCGGAUCGGAGCCAGCGGGCCCCAGGGAUUUACAGCGUGGUAAUAGCUGGAGGCUCCAAAGCCAGGAGAUACAAUUAAUCAAAGAGCUGCUGCUGCUGGAGCAGAGAUGAAAGGCUUUCCAGGCCGGUCGGCGCUGCGCUUGGAGCUCUCCCCCGCGCAACCACCUGCGGUGAGUAACAGGAGACGCGGGUCCUCUGGGCGCUGAGGUCUGUGAGUCCAGAGUCCAGAGCUGCCGGGGCAGGGAGGCGCC